GACGAACGCUGGCGGCGUGCUUAACACAUGCGAGUCGAACGAUGAAGCCGGAGCUUGCUCUGGUGAAUUAGUGGCGAACGGGUGAGUAACACGUGAGUAACCUGCCCUUGACUCUGGGAUAACUGCGGGAAACUGUAGCUAAUACCGGAUACGACCCUCGGAGGCAUCUCCUGGGGGUGGAAAGAAUUUCGGUCAAGGAUGGACUCGCGGCCUAUCAGCUAGUUGGUGAGGUAAAGGCUCACCAAGGCGACGACGGGUAGCCGGCCUGAGAGGGUGACCGGCCACACUGGGACUGAGACACGGCCCAGACUCCUACGGGAGGCAGCAGUGGGGAAUAUUGCACAAUGGGCGCAAGCCUGAUGCAGCAACGCCGCGUGAGGGAUGACGGCCUUCGGGUUGUAAACCUCUUUUAGCAGGGAAGAAGCGAAAGUGACGGUACCGGAAGAAGAAGCCCCGGCUAACUUCGUGCCAGCCGCCGCAGUAA
rnacentral:rRNA from 1 species